rnacentral:snoRNA from 1 species
GAGCGAUGAUGUGAAUCUACCUAGACCCAAAGUGUAUUUUAUAAAAAUACAUUUCAUGAUGGUUUCUACACUUGAACUGAGCUCU